rnacentral:rRNA from 1 species
ACGGCAGCACGGAGCUUGCUCUGGUGGCGAGUGGCGAACGGGUGAGUAAUAUAUCGGAACGUACCCUAGAGUGGGGGAUAACGUAGCGAAAGUUACGCUAAUACCGCAUACGAUCUAAGGAUGAAAGUGGGGGAUCGCAAGACCUCAUGCUCGUGGAGCGGCCGAUAUCUGAUUAGCNANUUGGUAGGGUAAAAGCCUACCAAGGCAUCGAUCAGUAGCUGGUCUGAGAGGACGACCAGCCACACUGGAACUGAGACACGGUCCAGACUCCUACGGGAGGCAGCAGUGGGGAAUUUUGGACAAUGGGCGAAAGCCUGAUCCAGCAAUGCCGCGUGAGUGAAGAAGGCCUUCGGGUUGUAAAGCUCUUUUGUCAGGGAAGAAACGGUGAGAGCUAAUAUCUCUUGCUAAUGACGGUACCUGAAGAAUAAGCACCGGCUAACUACGUGCCAGCAGCCGCGGUAAUACGUAGGGUGCAAGCGUUAAUCGGAAUUACUGGGCGUAAAGCGUGCGCAGGCGGUUUUGUAAGUCUGAUGUGAAAUC